AUUGAACGCUGGCGGCAGGCCUAACACAUGCAAGUCGAGCGGAUGAAGGGAGCUUGCUCCUGGAUUCAGCGGCGGACGGGUGAGUAAUGCCUAGGAAUCUGCCUGGUAGUGGGGGAUAACGUCCGGAAACGGGCGCUAAUACCGCAUACGUCCUGAGGGAGAAAGUGGGGGAUCUUCGGACCUCACGCUAUCAGAUGAGCCUAGGUCGGAUUAGCUAGUUGGUGGGGUAAAGGCCUACCAAGGCGACGAUCCGUAACUGGUCUGAGAGGAUGAUCAGUCAACGGGAAACGGAAAAAGGCCCAAGCCUCAUAGGGGAGGAAGCAGGGGGAAAUUUUGAACAAGGGGGGAAAGCUUGACCAAGCAUGGCCGGGGGGGUAAAGAAGGUCUUGGAAUUGAAAAGAAUUUAAGGUGGGGAGGAAGGAAAGAAAGUAAAUACCUGGCUGUUUGGACGUUACAAAAAAAAAAAGACCGGGCAAACUUCGUG
rnacentral:rRNA from 1 species